UAAGGAGCUUUCUGACUUUAGGACCUGAGA
rnacentral:piRNA from 1 species